rnacentral:rRNA from 1 species
UAAGGAAUAUUGGGCAAUGGUCGGAAGACUGACCCAGCCAUGCCGCGUGCAGGAAGAAGGCCCUAUGGGUUGUAAACUGCUUUAGCCAGGGGCUAAACCUACCGAUGCGUUGGUAGCUGAAGGUACCUGGAGAAUAAGCAUCGGCUAACUCCGUGCCAGCAGCCGCGGUAAUACGGAGGAUGCGAGCGUUAUCCGGAUUUACUGGGUUUAAAGGGUGCGCAGGCGGUUGGUUAAGUCAGGGGGGGAAUU